rnacentral:rRNA from 1 species
AUUGAACGCUGGCGGCAUGCCUUACACAUGCAAGUCGAACGGCAGCACGGGAGCAAUCCUGGUGGCGAGUGGCGAACGGGUGAGUAAAGUAUCGGAACGUGCCCAGUCGUGGGGGAUAACGUAGCGAAAGUUACGCUAAUACCGCAUACGAUCUAUGGAUGAAAGCGGGGGAUCGCAAGACCUAGCGCGAUUGGAGCGGCCGAUAUCAGAUUAGGUAGUUGGUGGGGUAAAGGCUCACCAAGCCGACGAUCUGUAACUGGUCUGAGAGGACGACCAGCCACACUGGGACUGAGACACGGCCCAGACUCCUACGGGAGGCAGCAGUGGGGAAUUUUGGACAAUGGGCGAAAGCCUGAUCCAGCCAUGCCGCGUGCAGGAUGAAGGCCUUCGGGUUGUAAACUGCUUUUGUACGGAACGAAAAGGUUUGGCCUAAUAAGCUGAGCUCAUGACGGUACCGUAAGAAUAAGCACCGGCUAACUACGUGCCAGCCGCCGCCGUAACAC